GAUGAACGCUGGCGGCGUGCCUAAUACAUGCAAGUCGAGCGAACAGACGAGGAGCUUGCUCCUCUGACGUUAGCGGCGGACGGGUGAGUAACACGUGGAUAACCUACCUAUAAGACUGGGAUAACUUCGGGAAACCGGAGCUAAUACCGGAUAAUAUAUUGAACCGCAUGGUUCAAUAGUGAAAGACGGUUUUGCUGUCACUUAUAGAUGGAUCCGCGCCGCAUUAGCUAGUUGGUAAGGUAACGGCUUACCAAGGCAACGAUGCGUAGCCGACCUGAGAGGGGGAUCGGCCACACUGAAACUGAGACCCGGUCCAGACUCCUACGGGAGGCAGCAGUGGGGAUUCUUCCGCAAGGGGCGAAACCCUGACGGAGCAACGCCGCGUGAUUGAUGAAGGUCUUCGAUCGUAAAACUCUGUUAUUAGGGAAGAACAAAUGUGUAAGUAACUAUGCACGUCUUGACGGUACCUAAUCAGAAAGCCACGGCUAACUACGUG
rnacentral:rRNA from 1 species